GCCCCACAAGGAGCAGCGUGGCAUCUCAGCGAAUCCUGCCGGUUGGGGUGUCAGACGGAGCAGCGUCGAGUUAUCUCUCGUUGCAUCAUCGUAAAUGCUGAGCGGCAGCCCCACUUCUGGUUUUGCGUUUGAGCUAAUGGCGUGGCACGAGGAGGAAGGUACGGCAGGAUCACGUGAAACCCAUUCGGGAUCUGAGGGACUGGGUUAGGUCACAUUUAUGGUCCAUGCUGUGGUCCUCAAUGCAGACGGUGGUGGACCGGUCUACUCGCGUCUACUUCGGUGAAUCCGGAACCCCCGGAUAACGUCCUGGAUUCAUGGGCCACAACGAAGUUUAUAAUUGGUCGGCUCUUCCCUCCUUUUUUUUAUAAUUUUUCCACCGUAGUGCAUCCACUUUAUUAAUUUUCUUUAUCUUCCAUGAUAAAGCAGUCAAUUGUAGGAGUUUCAUUUAUUAGAAUCAUCUAGAUCAAAAUAUUUAGAAAAAGGGAUCAUUGAGAUUCAAACCCAAAAUCACCUCGGAUAAAGAGAGCU
rnacentral:lncRNA from 1 species